GUAGCUGGGUGGCAGAAAAAGUACUGACUGGGCUUGCUUUAGUAACAGUCUCGAUGUUUUCGUAGGAGAUGCUCCGCGUGAGAUUUGACAGGACCCAGUAGGUGAGUUAUCUAUACAUCCAGUCGACAGACGUUUAUUCAG